rnacentral:rRNA from 1 species
AGAGUUUGAUCAUGGCUCAGGAUGAACGCUAGCUACAGGCUUAACACAUGCAAGUCGAGGGGCAGCAUUUUAGUUUGCUUGCAAACUAAAGAUGGCGACCGGCGCACGGGUGAGUAACACGUAUCCAACCUGCCGAUAACUCGGGGAUAGCCUUUCGAAAGAAAGAUUAAUAUCCGAUAGUAUAUUAAAACCGCAUGGUUUUACUAUUAAAGAAUUUCGGUUAUCGAUGGGGAUGCGUUCCAUUAGUUUGUUGGCGGGGUAACCGG